rnacentral:lncRNA from 1 species
AAAUUUCAUUAUAGAAAUCACAAAAGUUAAUCGGCGGCAAAGAUUUUUAUAGUGCUACGACAUGGCUACAGAAAUGAAGACAAUACAUAGGCGGUUUGGACUAAUAGUUAUAGCCCAAUUUCACGUUCAGUACAUGUCCAUCUAAAAAUCAAGAGACCAAAAAAAAACGACUGAAAACUUAAGUUAUACCCUUAAGAAAUGGCAAAUGUCAUUAUUAGGAGAAUCUAGUCGCUGAGGUGACCCUUUAAAAAAAAAAGAGUAAUUGUACUCUACACACAAGAUUUUUUAUAUAAUUAGCUAAAUACACAUUCCCUG